rnacentral:rRNA from 1 species
AAGGUUUCCGUAGGUGAACCUGCGGAAGGAUCAUUACCGAGUGCGGGUCCUUUGGGCCCAACCUCCCAUCCGUGUCUAUUGUACCCUGUUGCUUCGGCGGGCCCGCCGCUUGUCGGCCGCCGGGGGGGCGCCUCUGCCCCCCGGGCCCGUGCCCGCCGGAGACCCCAACACGAACACUGUCUGAAAGCGUGCAGUCUGAGUUGAUUGAAUGCAAUCAGUUAAAACUUUCAACAAUGGAUCUCUUGGUUCCGGCAUCGAUGAAGAACGCAGCGAAAUGCGAUAACUAAUGUGAAUUGCAGAAUUCAGUGAAUCAUCGAGUCUUUGAACGCACAUUGCGCCCCCUGGUAUUCCGGGGGGCAUGCCUGUCCGAGCGUCAUUGCUGCCCUCAAGCCCGGCUUGUGUGUUGGGUCGCCGUCCCCCUCUCCGGGGGGACGGGCCCGAAAGGCAGCGGCGGCACCGCGUCCGAUCCUCGAGCGUAUGGGGCUUUGUCACAUGCUCUGUAGGAUUGGCCGGCGCCUGCCGACGUUUUCCAACCAUUCUUUCCAGGUUGACCUCGGAUCAGGUAGGGAUACCCGCUGAACUUAAGCAUAUCAAUAAGCGGAGGAAA